rnacentral:rRNA from 1 species
AUACGGAGGGUGCAAGCGAUUCUCGGAAUCACUGGGCGUAAAGCGCGCGCAGGCGGCUAUUUAAGUUGGAUGUGAAAGCCUACAGCUCAACUGUAGAACUGCAUCCAAAACUAUUUAGCUAGAGUGUGGGAGAGGAAGAUGGAAUUAGUUGUGUAGGGGUAAAAUCCGUAGAGAUAACUAGGAAUACCAAAAGCGAAGGCAAUCUUCUGGAACACUACUGACGCUGAGGCGCGAAAGCGUGGGGAGCAAACGGGAUUAGAGACCCUAGUAGUCC